rnacentral:tRNA from 1 species
UGGGGAGUCGUCCAGCGGUAGGACACGCGGCUCUGGACCGCGGAACCGGGGUUCGAAUCCCUGCUCCCCAGCCA